rnacentral:rRNA from 1 species
AUUGAACGCUGGCGGCAUGCUUUACACAUGCAAGUCGAACGGUAACGCGGGGCAACCUGGCGACGAGUGGCGAACGGGUGAGUAAUGCAUCGGAACGUGCCCAGUAGUGGGGGAUAGCCCGGCGAAAGCCGGAUUAAUACCGCAUACGACCUAUGGGUGAAAGCGGGGGAUCGCAAGACCUCGCGCUAUUGGAGCGGCCGAUGUCAGAUUAGCUAGUUGGUGGGGUAAAGGCCUACCAAGGCGACGAUCUGUAGCUGGUCUGAGAGGACGACCAGCCACACUGGGACUGAGACACGGCCCAGACUCCUACGGGAGGCAGCAGUGGGGAAUUUUGGACAAUGGGGCAACCCUGAUCCAGCAAUGCCGCGUGCAGGAUGAAGG